GUUUGGCAGAAAUCAAUGAAAGCACUCUGUGAGCAUCAAUUGGUUAUAUGGAAUUUAUACCAAACAUUAGGUGUGUAAGGACCAGAUCACUUAUUCCUUUCGUUCACAAGUCUUCAGUGAAAGGAAUAAUACUCCAGAAGCUACACCCUAGGAACUACAUCUGAGGAGCCCACAUGCACGCCUGGAACUUAUUCAGAGGAUGAGAUCAUGAACCUUGAUCCUGAGUCUGAUGUUGUAAUGGGCUGAGUUUUGCUGGGGAACACUGUCUCUUGGAACCCUGAGCCACCAUGUGCUUGGCUGGAGAAGUCAUAUUGAAACUACCUGGGGCCCAAAGGAAGCCAGCUUUCUAGCCAUUCAUGCCCAGGCCCAAGCCACGUGAAUGCCAUUGAGUGACUCCAGAUGACUUCAGGUGGAACAGAAGAAGUGACUAGCCUGGCCCUGACUGAA